CAAGGCGUAGCUAUAACCUCCAAAGCAUUCAGCUUACACCUGAAAGAUACCCUCAAUUAAUGGGUCGCCUUGA
rnacentral:tRNA from 1 species